GACGAACGCUGGCGGCGUGCUUAACACAUGCAAGUCGAACGGUAAGGCCCUUCGGGGUACACGAGUGGCGAACGGGUGAGUAACACGUGGGUGAUCUGCCCUGCACUUCGGGAUAAGCCUGGGAAACUGGGUCUAAUACCGGAUAGGACCACUGCCUGCAUGGGUGGUGGUGGAAAGCUUUUGCGGUGUGGGAUGGGCCCGCGGCCUAUCAGCUUGUUGGUGGGGUGAUGGCCUACCAAGGCGACGACGGGUAGCCGGCCUGAGAGGGUGACCGGCCACACUGGGACUGAGAUACGGCCCAGACUCCUACGGGAGGCAGCAGUGGGGAAUAUUGCACAAUGGGCGCAAGCCUGAUGCAGCGACGCCGCGUGAGGGAUGACGGCCUUCGGGUUGUAAACCUCUUUCAGCACCGACGAAGUGCAAGUGACGGUAGGUGCAGAAGAAGGACCGGCCAACUACGUGCCAGCAGCCGCGGUA
rnacentral:rRNA from 1 species